AUUGAACGCUGGCGGCAUGCCUUACACAUGCAAGUCGAACGGCAGCACGGGAGCAAUCCUGGUGGCGAGUGGCGAACGGGUGAGUAAAGUAUCGGAACGUGCCCAGUCGUGGGGGAUAACGUAGCGAAAGUUACGCUAAUACCGCAUACGAUCUAUGGAUGAAAGCGGGGGAUCGCAAGACCUCGCGCGAUUGGAGCGGCCGAUAUCAGAUUAGGUAGUUGGUGGGGUAAAGGCUCACCAAGCCGACGAUCUGUAGCUGGUCUGAGAGGACGCACAGCCACACUGGGACUGGGACACGGCCCAGACUCCGACGGGAGGCAGCAGUGGGGAAUUUUGGACAAUGGGCGCAAGCCUGAUCCAGCCAUGCCGCGUGCAGGAUGAAGGCCUUCGGGUUGUAAACUGCUUUUGUACGGAACGAAAAGGUUUGACUUAAUACGUUGGACUCAUGACGGUACCGUAAGAAUAAGCACCGGCUAACUACGUGCCAGCCGCCGCGGUAA
rnacentral:rRNA from 1 species